AGAAAACUCGCCGAGCUCUAUUUCUACGCUAGGAAGCUAAAGAACCUCACGCAGAUCACAGAGGCAGAGCCAAGGCUAAACAAUGAGCAGCAUUGGAACAGGUUACGAUCUCUCAGUCACCACUUUCUCUCCUGAUGGUCGCGUUUUCCAAAUCGAAUAUGCUGCCAAAGCCGUCGACAAUAGCGGUACUGUUAUCGGAAUCAAGUGCCGGGACGGGAUUGUUAUGGGUGUGGAGAAGCUCAUUGCAUCUAAGAUGAUGUUGCCGGGUUCCAAUAGGAGAAUUCACUCUGUUCAUCGUCAUUCUGGCAUGGCUGUUGCUGG
rnacentral:misc_RNA from 1 species